UACAGAGGUCCCAAGCGUUGUUCGGAUUCAUUGGGCGUAAAGGGUGCGUAGGUGGCGCUGUAAGUGGGGUGUGAAAUUUCGGAGCUUAACUCCGAAACUGCAUUCCAUACUGCGGUGCUUGAGGACUGGAGAGGAGACUGGAAUUUACGGUGUAGCAGUGAAAUGCGUAGAGAUCGUAAGGAAGACCAGUGGCGAAGGCGGGUCUCUGGACAGUUCCUGACACUGAGGCACGAAGGCCAGGGGGAGCAAACGGGG
rnacentral:rRNA from 1 species